GAUGAACGCUGGCGGCGCGCCUAACACAUGCAAGUCGAACGGGUAAAGCACCUUGGAGGUGUGUAUAAAGUGGCGAACGGCGGAGUAACACGUGGGCAACCUGCCCUCCUCUUGGGGAUAGCCUCGGGAAACCGAGGAUAAUACUCGACACUCCAAUGGGGCCGGAUGAAGACAUUGAGAAAGCUUGUGCGGAGGAGGAUGGGGCCGCGGCGUGUUAGCUUGUUGGUGGGGUAGAGGCCUACCAAGGCAAUGAUGGGUAGCUGGGUUGAGUGACCGAGCAGCCAGAUUGGGACUGAGACACGGCCCAGACUCCUACGGGAGGCAGCAGUGGGGAAGCUUGCACAAUGGGCGAAGGCCUGAUGCAGCGACGCCGCGUGCGGGACGAAGGCCUUCGGGUUGUAGACCGCUUUCAGCAGGGACGCGGCGAUAAGUGACGGUACCUGCAGAAGAAGCCCCGGCUAACUACGUG
rnacentral:rRNA from 1 species